GCCUGGGUGGCUCAGUCGGUUGAGCAUCUGACUUCGGCUUAGGUCAUGAUCUCGCAGUUUGUGAGUUCGAGCCCCACGUCGGGUU
rnacentral:tRNA from 1 species